UACGUAGGUGGCAAGCGUUGUCCGGAAUUACUGGGCGUAAAGGGUUCGUAGGCGGUGUGGCAAGUCGGAAGUGAAAUCUCCAGGCUUAACUUGGAGACUGCUCCCGAAACUGCCAUGCUUGAGUGCGGGAGAGGCCAGUGGAAUUGCAGGUGUAGCGGUGAAAUGCGUAGAUAUCUGCAGGAACACCCGUGGCGAAGGCGGCUGGCUGGACCGCAACUGACGCUGAGGAACGAAAGCUAGGGGAGCAAACAGG
rnacentral:rRNA from 1 species